rnacentral:rRNA from 1 species
UAGAGAAUCUUCGGCAAUGGGGGCAACCCUGACCGAGCAACGCCGCGUGAGUGAAGAAGGUUUUCGGAUCGUAAAGCUCUGUUGUAAGAGAAGAACGUGUGUGAGAGUGGAAAGUUCACACAGUGACGGUAACUUACCAGAAAGGGACGGCUAACUACGUGCCAGCAGCCGCGGUAAUACGUAGGUCCCGAGCGUUGUCCGGAUUUAUUGGGCGUAAAGCGAGCGCAGGCGGUUUAAUAAGUCUGAAGUUAAAGGCAGUGGCUUAACCAUUGUUCGCUUUGGAAACUGUUAAACUUGAGUGCAGAAGGGGAGAGUGGAAGUCCAUGUGUAGCGGUGAAAUGCGUCGAUAUAUGGAGGAACACCGGUGGCGAAAGCGGCUCUCUGGUCUGUAACUGACGCUGAGGCUCGAAAGCGUGGGGAGCAAACAGG